rnacentral:rRNA from 1 species
UACGGAGGGUGCAAGCGUUAUCCGGAUUCACUGGGUUUAAAGGGUGCGUAGGCGGGCAGGUAAGUCAGUGGUGAAAUCUCCAAGCUUAACUUGGAAACUGCCGUUGAUACUAUCUGUCUUGAAUAUUGUGGAGGUGAGCGGAAUAUGUCAUGUAGCGGUGAAAUGCUUAGAUAUGACAUAGAACACCAAUUGCGAAGGCAGCUCGCUACUCAAUUAUUGACUCUGAGGCACGAAAGCGUGGGGAUCAAACAGG